rnacentral:rRNA from 1 species
GACGAACGCUGGCGGCGUGGAUUAGGCAUGCAAGUCGAACGGUAUCAUCCUUUCGGGGGUGAGAGAGUGGCGAACUGGUGAGUAACACGUAGGUUAUCUACCCUCAAGACGGGGACAACCCAGGGAAACUUGGGCUAAUACCGGAUGUGAGCAACUUUUAGUUGUUUGAAAGGUGGCGUAAGCUGUCGCUUGGGGAUGAGCCUGCGUCCUAUUAGUUAGUUGGUGAGGUAACGGCUCACCUAGGCAAUGAUAGGUAGGCGGCCUUAACGGGUGGUCGCCCCACACUGGGAUUGAGAUACGGCCCAGACUCCUACGGGAGGCAGCAGUCGAGAAUAGUCUACAAUGGUCGGAAGACUGAUAGUGCGACGCCGCGUGAACGAUGAAUCCCUUCGGGGUGUAAAGUUCUUUUAUAUGUGAGCAGUGCUUCUUAUAUUAACAGUAUGGGGGAGAGAGAUAUUAGCAUAUGAAUAAGCAACGGCUAACUCCGUGCCAGCAGCCGCGGUAA